GGUGCACGAUGGGAAAUGUAGUGCGAGCAGCGGAAGAGGGACGCGGAGGGGAGAGGCCGGCGGGAUGCGCAAAACUACAACUCCCAGCAGCCCGCGCGACGCUCUGCAUUUCGCCUCAGGGGGCCUGCAACCAGAGCUGCCAGAGGUGACUGCAGCCCAACACAGAGCAAACCACGCAGCACUACACUUCCCAUCAGCUCCAGCUUCACCCCGGAGGCUUUUGGACCCAAUGCCACCUACUUCCUCGUGUCAUUCUUAUUUUUUCCUGUCUCUCUCACGUGUCUCCACAUAAGGAUGUGUCGUCCAUAGCAACAUGAUGUAAUCUCGAGCCCAACAGGCAAGUUAAAGCAACGCCCCAACAGCCUGAUGCCAGCACGUUUGUCCAGAUCUCACAAUAGCUGACAAGGGAAUUUACACCCUCAGGGAAUUUGCACCUGACAGUCAGCAUGAAGCACAGCUCCUGCUCUUCGUACCUUUGCUGUUCGUUUCCUUGUUCUCCUUUAUGUUUUAUUUACAAGGGAGAGCCAAGGCUCAGCGUAACAGGAGCCUCUAAAAGCCUCAUUUCCCACCAAAAAUAAAAAAGAAAAAGGACGAUACCUAUAUUAAAUACCUUUCUAAGGCUGCCAAAUGGGAAUGCUUCUUACUAGAACUCUGUACCUCUUUGGAAAGGCAAUAAGAGGGACUGUUAAAAUUGAGCUUUGUAUUUCAAAUGCUUCAAUUUUUGGCCUUUUUUUUUUUUUUCUCAUGUGUUUACUGAGAGCUUUAAGUUAUUCUGAAGAGGGAUUUUAUGCCAUCGGAGCAAGCAGGCUGUAACUGUGUGAUACCUUCACACCCCGUGUUAUCAGUGCUCACCCUCCUAGAUGCAAUUAACAGCAGGAUUUGACUAUCGUCGCUGAUACUUAGAUAAGAGAAUUACCAAUCCAUCACUUUAUCUCUGCUCCUCCCUGAAGAACAGAUAAAACAGAAGAUAAAAGCUUUCACCUGUUCUUUCUUUCAUGGGAAUGAUUGCAGUGUGAAGGGGUUGAAAGCUCUCCGUGGGAUCUCAUAGUCCGUCCCAAGUCAGAGUGUGAUCUGCCUUCCCAGUGUGUGCUUAACUGGCCCCAAGGGAGAGCAGUGAAGAAGAAGCCAUCGUGAUGCUGACACUGGACCAAGGCAUGUUGCUUCUUUCCCAGCAAUCCACAUAGGAUAGUGUGCCACAUACAGAGCAGCAUCAAACGGUCUGGGGCCUAAAAACUGAGUAAAAUGCCCCAUGGCCAGAGAGAAAUACAAGAAGAAUGGCUGAGCUCACAACGAUGUCGCUGCGCAUCAGAAGGAAAAACCAUCUGUAUGGUCGUGUUAGCAUCCCCGGGGACCUGGCACCACAGAGCAAACCCUCACCCGUGACAAACAGGAUUAGCCCUGCGCCGGAGAGCCUCAGCACAGGCCCAGAGCCAAGUGGAGAAGAAGCAGAUGCAACUCGUCUCAAGAACCACCACGUCCUUUAAUUCCCCACCAGUGAAGCGGGGCUCAGCCUGGCUCUGAAAUCACAGCUUUUAGCCCCAGAAAAACCCACGC